GGGGGAGGUGAGGUGGCAGCAAGCCACCUCCAAAUGUCAUAGAGAGGGCAGCAAGUGGCACAAGGAGGGCACAAGUUACACAAGGAGAGGGUCGUGUCUUGCAAGGCCUCAGCCUAUCGUAAACUCCAAAACGCGUUGGGGACUGUGUGUGUGAGUGAGAUCAUUACGAAGUGAGGCCCCCACUUGUCAUUGUCCUCCCUCUUAAAUGAGAGUAGAAGUCCCAAGUUACAAGAUUGACUUAGCCUGAUCGAUGUGAUUUCUACUUCAGGAAUAGACCCUAUUAAUUUUUGUAUGUCUGAACUGUAUGCUCUAGCCAAGCUUCUAAUUGUGUGAUAGUGAUAUAUGUCUGUAUAACUGUUUAAUUUAUGAAACAUGGAAAGCUCUGAGAUCUGAACUCUUUAUGUUCACUCUAUUUGUAUAUACUGAUGUAUGAUUGUACUAUGUGAUCUUGCAUAAAUUGUGAUAGUUGUGGGUCUGUUAUCCUUUAUAAGUGCAUCCAGGUUGGAAUGCAAGGGUACUGAUUCACUUACUGAGCCUUUAGCUCAU
rnacentral:lncRNA from 1 species